rnacentral:rRNA from 1 species
GAAUGUGAAAAUUGGGAGGCAUCUCUCUUGAUUUUCAAAGUUGGGGACCGUAAGGCCCUGACGCUUCAUGAUGAGCCCGCGGCCUAUCAGCUAGUUGGUGAGGUAACGGCUCACCAAGGCUAAGACGGGUAGCUGGUCUGAGAGGACGACCAGCCACACUGGAACUGAGACACGGUCCAGACACCUACGGGUGGCAGCAGUCGAGAAUUUUUCACAAUGGGGGAAACCCUGAUGGAGCGACGCCGCGUGGGGGAUGAAUGGCUUCGGCCCGUAAACCCCUGUCAUUCGCGAACAAUGCCUGUGAUCUAAUAAAUCACAGGUUGAUAGUAGCGGAAGAGGAAGGGACGGCUAACUCUGUGCCAGCAGCCGCGGUAAUACAGAGGUCCCGAGCGUUGUUCGGAUUCACUGGGCGUAAAGGGUGCGUAGGCGGUCGGGUAAGUCUGAUGUGAAAUCUCACAGCUUAACUGUGAAACUGCAUUGGAUACUAUUCGGCUUGAGGUCUGGAGGGGGGACUGGAAUUCUCGGUGUAGCAGUGAAAUGCGUAGAUAUCGAGAGGAACACCAGUGGCGAAGGCGAGUCCCUGGACAGGUCCUGACGCUGAGGCACGAAAGCUAGGGGAGCAAACAGGAUUAGAUACCCUGGUAGUCCUAGCCGUAAACGGUGCUUAUUUGCUGUAAAAGGAAUCGACCCCUUUUGUGGCGUGGCAAACGAGUUAAAUAAGCCGCCUGGGAAGUACGGUCGCAAGAUUAAAA